CUCACUGUGAGCUAAUUGAUCAGAAGCCGGCUGCAUCCUGCUGAUAAACGCAGAUAUCUGAGACGCCGAGCGGUUUGUCCAAUCAGUCGGCAACACAAACAAACACACAGCUGAGGAAUAAAGUGCAGCUCAACGAGCAGAGAAGAAGCUGCACUUCAGCCUUUAACAUCCACGACGUCCACUUUGGUUGAGUCAACACAGACGACAUACUGCAGAGUAAUGGCUUGUUUGCACAGUAGAAAAGUCAUUAGACUGCAAGCAUUGGAUUAAUGACAGAAAAUGGAAAGUACUGAAGCCCGGGGGCCUCUGAGAAAACGCCUGCCGAAGCCAAAGCAGGGCUUCAGAGGGAAAAGGUGUUGAGAGAAACCUAAUCUGUGAGCGGGAUGGUGGGAGGAGGAGGUGGUGAGGAAAGGCUGGUGGCGGUCCGAAGGAAAAGGACCUCCUCGCCGCUCACAUACCUGACAUACCUCACAGAUUCUCACAAGCUGAUACCAAACAGAUCGCCUUAACAGAGAGCCCCGUAAACAAAGAAGGCAACUCAUUCUGAGUUUGGUCCAAAAAGCAGCCUGUACUUAAAUAUAGGUGUUACUGUUUGUAGACGACAAUCAGCUGGUAAAAAUAAAGUGCAUUUAUUAGUGGUGAUUUAGGCCUCAUUGUCAUCUUUUUGUGCAUUUAAUUGCAUUUAAUUAGCCGUUGUGUCUUUCUUUGUCAUGAUUUUGAGUCUUUGUGGUCAUUUUUUGUCUCUGUUGUCAUUUUUUGUCUAUUUGCGGUCAUUUUGUGUGUUUUUGUGGUCCUUUGUUGUCAAUUUGUGUAUUAUUAUUGUCAUUUUGUGUGUGUUUUUUGUUGAUUUGUGUCUCUUUGUGGUCAACUUUGUCUCUUAGUAGUCAGUUUGUGUUUAUGGUCAUUUUGUGUCUUGUUGUAUCUCUUAAUGGUCAGUUUUUGUUUCUUUGUUGUCAUGUUGUGUCUUG